CAAAGGUUUGGUCCUAGCCUUUUCAUUAAUUAUCAGCAAACUUACACAUGCAAGAAUCCCCCUUCCGGUGAAAAUGCCCUCUAAAUCUAUCAUAGAUUAAAAGGAGCGGGUAUCAAGCACACUCUAAAGUAGCUCACCACACCUUGCUCAGCCACAUCCCCACGGAAACACAGCAGUGAUAAAAAUUAAGCUAUAAACGAAAGUUCGACUUAGUUAUGCUGCAACAGAGUUGGUAAAAUUCGUGCCAGCCACCGCGGUCAUACGACUAACCCAAAUUAAUGAAACAACGGCGUAAAACGUGUUUUAGAGAUAAAAAUAAUAAGAUUAAGUUUUACCUAAGUCGUAAAAAACUCCAGGUAAACAUAAAACCAGUAUGCGAAAGCAAUCUCAACUCCUCUGAACACACGACACCUAAGACCCAAACUGGGAUUAGAUACCCCACUAUGCUUAGUCGUAAAAAUAAAAAAUUAAUAACAAAAUUUUUUGCCAGAGAACUACGAGCAACAGCUCAAAACUCAAAGGACUUGGCGGUGCUUCACAACCAUCUAGAGGAGCCUGUUCUAUAACCGAUACUCCCCGAUAAACCUUACCACUUCUUGCUAAUUCAGCCUAUAUACCGCCAUCUUCAGCAAACCCUAAUAAGGAAAAGGAGUAAGCACAAGCACAGACAUAAACACGUUAGGUCAAGGUGUAGCCCAUGGAGUGGAAAGAAAUGGGCUACAUUUUCUGACAAAGAACACCCACGAUAAUCUUUAUGAAAUUUAAAGAUCCAAGGAGGAUUUAGUAGUAAAUUAAGAAUAGAGUGCUUAAUUGAAUUAGGCCAUGAAGCACGCACACACCGCCCGUCACCCUCCUCAAAUUACUAUAUAACAACCAUACAUUAAUACCACGUAAGCAAGUAUUAGAGGAGACAAGUCGUAACAAGGUAAGCAUACUGGAAAGUGUGCUUGGAUAAA
rnacentral:ncRNA from 1 species